rnacentral:rRNA from 1 species
UACGAAGGGGACUAGCGUUGUUCGGAAUUACUGGGCGUAAAGGGCUCGUAGGCGGCCAACUAAGUCGGAUGUGAAAUCCCCAGGCUUAACCUGGGAACUGCAUCCGAUACUGGAUGGCUUGAAUCCGGGAGAGGGAUGCAGAAUUCCAGGUGUAGCGGUGAAAUGCGUAGAUAUCUGGAGGAAUACCGGUGGCGAAGGCGGCAUCCUGGACCGGCAUUGACGCUGAUGAGCGAAAGCUAGGGGAGCAAACGGG